AUUUGUUAUUAAUAUCUCUAAAAUUCGACUGCAACAUUAAUUUUAAGAUUAUGAACAUAGUGGGAAAUGUAUUUAUUAAAAAAUAAUACUUAUUAGAUUUGGAGCUUAGCAUAGAAUGUAUUAAUUUUACAAUGAUGUAUACAUUUUUUAUGUACUGAACAACUUUUUUUACCAGAAUUCUUUCUUCGAAAUAUCAAGUGUAGUACCUUUUGAGAAGGAAAAUUUUUGUUAAGAAACAUGUCUAUGGUCAUGACUGGUGCUACCUGGUAGGGAUGCCAAAUGAAAACUGAUUGCCAAAACAGUAUGUUCUCUUGUGAAACUAGGUAGGUUUAAUUAUUGUAUUAGUUGAAAAAUAGUUCCUUUUGUAAUAUUGAACAAACAUUGGUUGAUUCAGAAUGUUUCUGGUCAUUUAAUGAUUGGUUUAUAAUUAUUUAUUUUACUAAUUACUUAACAGAAUUUAGGUUUCAACUAUAUUGAUAUAAAAAUGAAAAUACAAAUCAUGUUAUAUUUUCAUUUUUAAAUUGAUAACCCUUAUAACCC